CCCACCCGUCCGAUCUGGACGACAACGCCCAAGACCCGCUUAGGGUAGCGGCAUUGUAACAGAGAAAAUAAUUGCUUAUAAUGAUUUUAAUUAUUUGACUUUGUUCGGUACCUUACAUUGAAUUGCAUGGCUUUGGCGACAAAAUAUUCACAUAGUAUCUGAUGUAUUCAGAUCAAGGUUAUGUCGUUGAGCUAAGAUGCCCUAAAAGCAGCUCAUAAAAGACAAAAAAGAUUCAGAUUUAAAAAAAAAGUAUGCAGGUGGUGAAUCAACUGAAAGUACGGUUGAGGAGGAAGUAAAAUCAUCUCAAUCAAGUAAACUUUCGACAAAGAAAGGAAAUAUUAUUAACUCCAGUAAUGUUAUUCAAAAGUACAAAAAGAGCAUUUUGUUACAAACCAGAAAAGAGCUUUGUCUCGAUGAUGCAAAUGAUGGUGAUAAAUCUACAGAUGAAGGGGUAAUAAAAAAAAGGCGCUUAUCAGAAAUGUGUGAAAAUAUUAGUUUUGGAGCAUCUGGUGAUUACACAAAGUUAGUAACAGAUAACGAGCCACGCGUUGUUUUACGGAAUAUAGGAUUCAAUACAAUGUCCACUCAAAACAAUUUGAUUUCAUCUGGGCCUUCUUCACUUCCAUUAAAACUGUCAAGCCAGAGGUCCUCUCAAACUGAUACAUUUUCUAAAAUCAGCUGCUCCUCACCUUCCCUACCUGCAAUAAAACCUACAGUGAAGUCACAGUCUAGCUUUUCACUAACAAGGAAAGGUACCCAACCCGAACUCACCGAUUUUGAUGAUUUUCAUAUAUGUUGUAGAACAUAAAAAAAUAAGAGACACGUAUUUUCUUUUAUCGGCUAAUUUUCACUUUUAAGGGGUAAAAACCUCCCCUAAAGUUAACCCCCAAAAAGCGUUUUUUUUACAUAUCUCGGCUUAAAAUUAAUAUUUUUCAAUGAAACAAAUUGGAGGUUAUUUCUUACAAAAAGAGCAAGUAUUUCAUGGUGAUUUGAAGAGUAAGAGUAGCAUCCCCUAUUUUUUAGGGGUUGAAAACAUAUAUUUUUUGGCAUAAUUUUAUAAUAAAAAUGUUUAAACCGACUAAAAAAAAUUGGAAAAAAUGUUUAAACAUCCUUAAUAACAAAAUUUAGUUGACGUCUUUCGGUGUUUUCAUAAAUAUUACCCCUAAGGGGGUAAACCACCCCUAACACAAAAUAACUGUAAAUAUGUAAUUCAAUACAUAAUAUUUCGUAUAAAGUUUGUAUAUAGAGGUUUUCGAGGUCGCUGAUUACAAAUCUAUCAGAUUUUGAAAAUUCAAAAUGGCGGAACCAAUAGGACGGAAAUAUCGAAAAAAAA